rnacentral:rRNA from 1 species
GACGAACGCUGGCGGCGUGCUUAACACAUGCAAGUCGAACGGAAAGGCCCUGCUUUUGUGGGGCGCUCGAGUGGCGAACGGGUGAGUAACACGUGAGUAACCUGCCCUUGUCUUUGGGAUAACUUUAGGAAACUGGGGCUCAUACCGGAUAGGAGCUCCUGCUGCAUGGUGGUGGUUGGAAAGUUUCGGCGGUUGGGGAUGGACUCGCGGCUUAUCAGCUUGUUGGUGGGGUAGUGGCUUACCAAGGCUUUGACGGGUAGCCGGCCUGAGAGGGUGACCGGCCACAUUGGGACUGAGAUACGGCCCAGACUCCUACGGGAGGCAGCAGUGGGGAAUAUUGCGCAAUGGGCGGAAGCCUGAUGCAGCGACGCCGCGUGCGGGAUGACGGCCUUCGGGUUGUAAACCGCUUUCGCCUGUGACGAAGCGUGAGUGACGGUAAUGGGUAAAGAAGCACCGGCUAACUACGUG